AUUGAACGCUGGCGGCAUGCCUUACUCAUGCAAGUCGAACGGUAACAGGUCUUCGGAUGCUGACGAGUGGCGAACGGGUGAGUAAUACAUCGGAACGUGCCUAGUAGUGGGGGAUAACUACUCGAAAGAGUGGCUAAUACCGCAUGAGAUCUACGGAUGAAAGCAGGGGAUCGCAAGACCUUGUGCUACUAGAGCGGCCGAUGGCAGAUUAGGUAGUUGGUGGGAUAAAAGCUUACCAAGCCGACGAUCUGUAGCUGGUCUGAGUGGACGAUCAGCCACACUGGGACUGAGACACGGCCCAGACUCCUACGGGAGGCAGCAGUGGGGAAUUUUGGACAAUGGGCGCAAGCCUGAUCCAGCAAUGCCGCGUGCAGGAUGAAGGCCUUCGGGUUGUAAACUGCUUUUGUACGGAACGAAAAGCCCUGGGAUAAUACCCUGGGGUCAUGACGGUACCGUAAGAAUAAGCACCGGCUAACUACGUGCCAGCCGCCGCCGUAACAC
rnacentral:rRNA from 1 species